rnacentral:tRNA from 1 species
GCCCCUAUAGCUCAGUUGGUAGAGCAUUUGCCUAGACAGCAAAAAGCACCCAGUUCAAGCCUAGAUGGAGGCA